rnacentral:misc_RNA from 1 species
AGAAAGUUCAGCUUUGAACAAAGGUUCAUUGUCACAAACUAUGUCAAUGUUGCAGCACACUCUCAAAAAUUGAUGGCGUUGAGAAAAUUGUGUGAGAAGGACAAAUUUAAGGGUACGUAUGAGCUCCUUUUUUGGUAAUAAAAUGAAAAGCAAAUGGCAUCUAAUGAGAAGAUAACAAGACUAAAUAUGUAGGCUAAAAGUGAGGAGGAGGUAAUAGGCUGUUAUCCAAUGACUUGAAAAAGCGUUGAGGAACCUAAGAAGAGCAUGAUCCAUUGUUGCUAAUAGGCUGUUGUGGAAGCCAAUAUAAAGAUACUACAAUACAAUACCUUGGGCUAUAAUUUGCUAGUGAUACGAUAUUUCUAUCAGUGGCAAAAACAGUCAUGGAUGAAGUUUCACAAUUGUGACCCAUUAUGAACCUCUAAAUGUAAUCAAGCAUACACAAUAAAUGCUGUGGGCCCGUGGCCAUGAUAUCAUAGUGGUAACUAUAUCCCAUUCUAAAGGGUGCAGUUCUAUUAAAUACCAUGGAGAUGCAUCUGUGGUUGAGGUAGAUGUAGAACCCUAUGUUUUAGCACCUAAAUAAUUUUUACCCAAUGGAAAAUAAAUGUGCCAUAGAGUUUACAUCCUUAUAUGACUAAAAUAAGUUUCAAUUCAUUAUAGUUGGGCAUCAAAAAUAAAAAUUGGCUUACAACACCCUCCUAAAAUAUAAUAACUUGUUGAACUUCAGAUUCCUUAAUUGGCUAGAAGAAGAAUAAGAAUUGUUAUUAGGUUCCUCCCUAUGGGACAGAUUUGGGUCAAUUAGGGCUCUAGCUUCUCAUGUGAGAAGGUAAGUAUACUGCUGCAUCAGAAGUGCUCCCAGCAAUAAUAAAUGGCAUGACAAGCUGCUAUAAUCAUUUAAAUAUUUGUUCUCUGUUGUUGCCUUUGGUUUUCUGAUUUAUUAUUGCUACUUUUCUAUGCAAAUCUGUUCUCG